UACGGGGGGGGCAAGCGUUGUUCGGAAUUACUGGGCGUAAAGGGCUCGUAGGCGGCCAACUAAGUCAGACGUGAAAUCCCUCAGCUUAACUGGGGAACUGCGUCUGAUACUGGAUGGCUUGGAUUCGGGAGAGGAAUGCGGAAUUCCAGGUGUAGCGGUGAAAUACGUAGAUAUCUGGAGGAACACCGGUGGCGAAGGCGGCAUUCUGGACCGAUAUUGACGCUGAGGAGCGAAAGCCAGGGGAGCAAACGGG
rnacentral:rRNA from 1 species